UACGAAGGGGGCUAGCGUUGUUCGGAAUUACUGGGCGUAAAGCGCACGUAGGCGGAUUUGUAAGUCAGGGGUGAAAUCCCGGGGCUCAACCUCGGAACUGCCUUUGAUACUGCAAGUCUUGAGUCCGAUAGAGGUAAGUGGAAUUCCUAGUGUAGAGGUGAAAUUCGUAGAUAUUAGGAAGAACACCAGUGGCGAAGGCGGCUCACUGGAUCGGUACUGACGCUGAGGUGCGAAAGCGUGGGGAGCAAACAGG
rnacentral:rRNA from 1 species